GGCGGAGCAGUUGCUGUACCAGGCGGUGAUGCAGCCCGACAGGAUACUCUCGAUUAGAGAGGCUAGGGUGGAAGGAGCGUUUUCCACUUUGGAAGAUGAAGAAUUUUCAGAAUAUGAGGAUCAUGUCUCUGUCAAUUCGGAGUCUGCCAGUGACUUGAAGAGGAUGAGAUUGACCCUCAGCCAGCCCCAGGACCAGCCCAUCAGCAGCCAGCCCUAGGACCAAACUCAUUUACAUGCAUACUUUAGGGUUCUUAUUCUUGCUGGUGUUUUCAGAUGCAAUGGGAAAUUCACAGAAUCCCUGUGGGAUGCAGAAACUGACAGAGAACUUUUCCGUGCAACAAUGUCUGGAAAACUUCCACAUUUCCAGGGUUAUCAGCUUCGAUAACCGAGACACCAGACCAGCUCGGCGGCAGAGAGACAAGCUAGCUGCAGACAGGUCAGUGUGGGACAAGUGGGUGGACCGCCUUCCCCUGUUUUACAACCCUAGGCCCAACAUUACUGUUGAGCAGCAUAUGCCAUUUAGGAGCCACUGCCCCUUCAGGCAGUACAUACUGCUUCAUCAUAUGCAUGGAACUUGCACGUGUAUACGGGGAAGCCAGAUGGAGGAGCCCCUGACAAGAACCAAGAGAUGCGGGUUGUCCUGGACAUGACACAGGGACUCCAUGGCCACAACAUCACAUGCGCUAACAUUUUUACUUCUCACAAGCUGGGACAGGAGCUCCUCAAGAGGAAGCUGAUGAUGGUAGGAAUUGUACAAAAAACAAGGCAGCGCUCCCACCUCAGCUGUUGAACACACAGAACAGGCCUAUCAAUUCCUCUAAGUUUGUGUUCCCUAGCAUCCUACGCUCCAAAGAAAGGCAAAAAUGUGGUACUCAUGAGUACACUGCAUGGUGAUGGGAGAAUCUGUGUUCAGGAACAUCAAAAACAGAAAUCAUAAUGGAUUACAAUGCCACAAAAGGAGGGGUGGACAAUUAAGACAUGCUUGUGACUGGCCACAGCUGCAAAAGAAGAACCCUACUCUGGCCACUUGGACAUCUCGCGUUUCUCAUCUGGAUGGCGUUGAACCUAGAUUGGAACAGAGGAGCUCCAGAGGAGAUGGCUCUUUCUCGAGGAGCUGGGACCUAAAAUCCAGAGAAGGCAACAUAUCCCAAGGACCCCAGCUUCUGCAGCCAUCGUGAGGAGGAUUCAGGAGGAGGAUGCUGGUGCCCCAUCCGCCCGACCCACAGAACCAACAACUCCAAUACCGUAAACACACUGAAAUUCAUUGGAAAGACUGUGAAAAGAUGGUAGAAAGUCAUCUGAACGAAGACGUUGAAAGCUGUGGGAGCGAAGACUUUGAAAAGACGAUGGCAUCCUCACCACGUCUACUGGGGGUAGCUUUCUUUACUGUACUACGUGACCUGAUUCACAUUCCACACAAAUCAAAUAAAAAAUAAACAAAUACAUGAAUAAAUACAAAAUAAACAUUGAAGGAAUUGUAUAAAAGUUUGAUGUUUUGUUGCCAAUGCUGUAAAACAUACCUGGGAAAUGGAGGAAGGAGUAUCAAUCUUUUAAGCCAGCAAUAUAUUGAGCAUAUUUUGGAAAUGGAGCGUAUCUGCUCCCAUGAAGUGCAAAGAGAAAGAGAAACCUUCCUGAGAAACAAGGAGAGGAAGUAAAAUAAAAAGGAGGUUGAGGAGAGAAUGAGAGAGAGGGCACAUCUUGGCAAAUAAAAAAAGGAAUGCACGUGUGGCCUGUGUGGUCCAGCGGUUACAGCCGCUGCCCCCUGAACACAUGUAUGUCAGAGUUGGCGUAGGUUUGAAUCCAGCCCACAGCCCUUUGGCUCACCCUAACCAGAGACUAAGGAUUUAGGUUUUAAGCAGACAGGAACGCUCUGUGGUAAUGAAAUAAUAGCUAAUAGCAAACACUUGUCAUUUACAGUAGUUGACCAUAUGUAUCGCAACUGUAAAAAUGAAUCAAAUAACAAUAAAUCUAUGUGCUUUGAUUUUGUUAUUCA